rnacentral:rRNA from 1 species
AACGAACGCUGGCGGCAGGCUUAACACAUGCAAGUCGAACGCCCCGCAAGGGAGUGGCAGACGGGUGAGUAACACGUGGGAACGUGCCCUAAGGUUUGGAAUAUUCCCGGGAAACUGGGAGCAAUACCAAAUGUGACCGCAAGGUGAAAGAUUUAUCGCCUUAGGAUCGGCCCGCGUCGGAUUAGCUAGUUGGUGGGGUAAAAGCCUACCAAGGCGACGAUCCGUAGCUGGUCUGAGAGGAUGAUCAGCCACACUGGAACUGAGACACGGUCCAGACUCCUACGGGAGGCAGCAGUGGGGAAUAUUGGACAAUGGGCGCAAGCCUGAUCCAGCCAUACCGCGUGGGUG